rnacentral:lncRNA from 1 species
UAAACGCGAGCUACGCCUCCAAAUUUCGAGCAGAGCAGAGCAGAGUCAUCAGACGUAUCGAGCCUCUAAAUAAUAAAAUCAGUAAAGAGAGAUUUUGAUUCACAGGUUUAUUUUUAAACUAAAAAUAAUCAGUAAGGGCACGUACAAACGAACAGACGCAUUUAAUUACACGGAUGAACAGACGGAUGGGUGCAGGCGUGCAGCACACGCACUGCAUCUGCACAUCCAAAUUACACACACGAACAAAAAAACUCGAUACUUGUUCAAACGCAGCAGCAUACGCGUGCGCAGGAGCUCCGGGCGGCCGGCCGAUGCGAUCGACCCAUACUGCGCAACCACCAAAUGAGCAUGCACGCAUGCAUGCAAGCAUGGGGUAACCGGAUACGUAGAUUAUUUAAUUAGUACUCGACGGCAGCGAAGGGUCGUCCAUCAGAAGUCGCCGGCAGCGGUGCUGGCUUCCCCCCCUUUGCCGCCCUUGCCGCCCUCGGCGUGGUUCAUGCUGAAGCUGUUGAGGCUGCGGCCGCCGGCGCCGCCGUUCAUGGAGAAGCUGUCCUUGCCCACGCCCGUGGCGGCCUCCACCGGCUCCGCGGUGUGGCUGAGAAGCAGGAGGCCUAGCAGGGCCAGGCCGAGCAGGGUCAUGCGCAGCUCGUUGUUCCUUGCGCCCGCCAUUGAUGCCUGUGGAAGAUUGCGAGAUCGCGCGGAUGGAGGUGGGAUUAACUGAUUUGGAUUAUUCGCGAGCUGCGGUGGUGGGUGGAGGAAGGAGGAGGUGUUCUUGAGGAUUUAUAGUGGGAGGAGAAGGCGAGAGGGGUGGUGGAACAACUUUGGCUAAACUUGGCUAAAAAAUUGAGGCUGAGAGGCACACUAAUUGUUGUCAUGCACCCAGCUAGUUAAAAAUAGCAAUGCGCAAG